rnacentral:rRNA from 1 species
AGAGUUUGAUCAUGGCUCAGGAUUAACGCUGGCGGUAUGCCUAACACAUGCAAGUCGAACGGAAUACUAAUUAAGAGAAUCUCACACUAGUGAGAGGUUCUCACGAGUAGUAUUUAGUGGCGGACGGGUGAGUAACACGUUGGAACCUGCCCCGAAGUGGGGAAUAACUGCUCGAAAGAGUAGCUAAUACCCCAUAGUAUCCGGUUUAUCCGGAUUAAAGAUUUAUCGCUUCGGGAGGGGCCUGCGUCUGAUUAGCUAGUUGGUGAGGUAAAAGCUCACCAAGACGACGAUCAGUAGCUGGUUCGAGAGGAUGACCAGCCACACUGGGACUGAGAUACGGCCCAGACUCCUACGGGAGGCAGCAGUGAGGAAUCUUCCACAAUGGACGAAGGUCUGAUGGAGCAAUACCGCGUGCAGGAAGACGCUUUUCGGAGUGUAAACUGCUUUUGUCGUCGAAGAUUAUGACUGUAGACGAAGAAUAAGGACCGGCUAACUACGUG